GACGAACGCUGGCGGCGUGCCUAAUACAUGCAAGUCGAACGCUUCUUUCCUCCCGAGUGCUUGCACUCAAUUGGAAAGAGGAGUGGCGGACGGGUGAGUAACACGUGGGUAACCUACCCAUCAGAGGGGGAUAACACUUGGAAACAGGUGCUAAUACCGCAUAACAGUUUAUGCCGCAUGGCAUAAGAGUGCAAGGCGCUUUCGGGUGUCGCUGAUGGAUGGACCCGCGGUGCAUUAGCUAGUUGGUGAGGUAACGGCUCACCAAGGCCACGAUGCAUAGCCGACCUGAUAGGGUGAUCGGCCCCCCUGGGACUCAGACACGGCCCAGACUCCUACGGAGGGCAGCAGUAGCGAAUCUUCGGCAAUGGACGAAAGUCUGACCGAGCAACGCCGCGUGAGUGAAGAAGGUUUUCGGAUCGUAAUACUCUGUUGUUAGCGAAGAACAAGGACGUUAGUAACUGAACGUCCCCUGACGGUAUCUAACCAGAAAGCCACGGCUAACUACGUG
rnacentral:rRNA from 1 species